rnacentral:tRNA from 1 species
GGCCUGGUAGCUCAGUUGGUAGAGCAGAGGAUUGAAAAUCCUUGUGUCGGUGGUUCGAUUCCGCCCUAGGCCA